rnacentral:rRNA from 1 species
AUUGAACGCUGGCGGCAGGCCUAACACAUGCAAGUCGAGCGAGCGGCGGACGGGUGAGAAAUGUCUGGGAAACUGCCUGUUGGCGGGGGAUAACUCCUGGAAACGGUAGCUAAUACCGCACACCAUCAGAUGUGCCCAGAUGGGAUUAGCUAGUAGGUGGGGUAACGGCUCACCUAGGCGACGAUCCCUAGCUGGUCUGAGAGGCUGACCAGCCAAACUGGAACUGAGACACGGUCCAGACUCCUACGGGAGGCAGCAGUGGGGAAUAUUGCACAAUGGGCGCAAGGCUGAUGCAGCCAUGCCGCGUGUGUGAAGAAGGCCUUCGGGUUGUAAAGCUCUUUCAGCGGGGAGGCGGUACCCACAGAAGAAGCACCGGCUAACUCCGUGCCAGCAGCCGCGGUAAUAC